CAGAGGUCCCAAGCGUUGUUCGGAUUCACUGGGCGUAAAGGGUGCGUAGGCGGUCGGGUAAGUCUGACGUGAAAUCUUCAAGCUCAACUUGGAAACUGCGUCGGAUACUAUUCGGCUAGAGGAACGGAGGGGAGACUGGAAUACUUGGUGUAGCAGUGAAAUGCGUAGAUAUCAAGUGGAACACCAGUGGCGAAGGCGAGUCUCUGGACAUUUCCCGACGCUGAGGCACGAAAGCCAGGGGAGCAAACGGGAUUAGAUACCCCGGUAGUCCUGGCCCUAAACGGUGCAUGUUUGCUGUAAGAGGAAUCGACCCCUUUUGUGGCGAAGCUAACGCGUUAAACGUGCCGCCUGGGAAGUACGGCCGCAAGGUUA
rnacentral:rRNA from 1 species